ACAGGUUCAAAGAGAAGGUUUCAGACAUGCACCACGAUCACAGGUUCAAAGAGAAGGUUUCAGACAUGCACCACGAUCACAGAUUCAAAGAGAAGGUUUCAGACAAGCACCACGAUCACAGAUUCAAAGAGAAGGUUUCAGACAUGCACCACGAUCACAGAUUCAAAGAGAAGGUUUCAGACAUGCACCACGAUCACAGAUUCAAAGAGAAGGUUUCAGACAUGCACCACGAUCACAGGUUCAAAGAGAAGGUUUCAGACAUGCACCACGAUCACAGAUUCAAAGAGAAGGUUUCAGACAAGCACCACGAUCA
ensembl:lncRNA